CCUUCUCUGACAAGGGUGCCUGCCAGGGCACUGCCAGCCUCCUGAGCUGCUUCUGCAGAGUGCAGUUUGCCUGGGGGGCAAGUGCCCAGACCCACUGCCUUCACGAUCACGCCACCACCGUCCAGGAGGCAGCAGCUGUCCAGAGGGUCCCAGGGCUUAGCUGGACACCGGAUGCACUGCAGGCUUUCCGUAAACACCUGUCCUGCGGAGAGAACCCAGGUUGUAGAGUCGGACCAAGCUGGGCCUGAAUUCAUGACUGCCUGCAUGCACCCAGAGAUGCUACUUAGCUACUCGGAUCUUCGGUUCCUUAACCUUUAGGAUGAGAGUAAAAGCACUCAUUUCAUAGGGUCAGCCCCGGACGAGGUGACAACCUGUAUGUAGUGUGCCCAGCAUACUCCGACCCCUGGUGGAGACCCAGCCCCUCAUCAUCCCCUCGCCCUCUGCCCCAUCUUCUCAGGUGUGUGCAUGGUCCCAGGGAGCAUGAGUCUUGGCAGCGGUGCAGGGGGUGGAGGAUGUGGGGGUGGCCUGGGAUAGUGCUCCUUCCUGUCCCAUCUGGACACUCACACCUGGCCCAGUAGUGGGGGUGUUUACCCAGCUCUCCCAGGGAGGGGUGAGCUCGAUGCUCCAGGAGGCCCCCAGUCCACACUGGCCUGCAGCCUGGCUGCCGGAGGCUUGGGUGUGCCCACUGUGUCACAGCUGGUCCCUUCUCACCCUGCCACUGCCCAGCCCACCCCACUGUAGCUGAUCCCUUUCCACACUCCUGAGGUGCAUGACAUCAGGUCUAGAAGGUGUCAGUCUCUCACGGGCCGUUCCCUGGGCCUGAAUUGACCUCAAAUCCCCAUCUUGGAUCAGUUCUUCCCUCAUCAAAUAUGCUUUCCACCUCCCUCCUCCCGGCCACCAAGAUGGGCACAGGUCCCCCUGUGGGAGCACCGAUCCUGGAGCUGAAAUUACCUGUUUCUUCAUUCGUCUCCUUA